AGAGUUUGAUCAUGGCUCAGGAUGAACGCUAGCGGCAGGCUUAACACAUGCAAGUCGAGGGGCAGCAUGUCCAGCAAUGGAUGAUGGCGACCGGCGGAAGGGUGCGUAACGCGUGAGCAACAUGCCCUAUACAGGGAGAUACACCAGGGAAACUUGGUCUAAUAUCCCAUAGCAUUCAUUGAAGGCAUCUUUAAUGAUUUAAAGCUUCGGUGGUAUAGGAUUGGCUCGCGUGACAUUAGCCAGAUGGUGAGGUAACGGCUCACCAUAGCAAUGAUGUCUAGGGGUUUUGAGAGGAAGGCCCCCCACACUGGGACUGAGACACGGCCCAGACUCCUACGGGAGGCAGCAGUGAGGAAUAUUGGACAAUGGAUGGAAAUCUGAUCCAGCCAUGCCGCGUGCAGGAAGACGGCCUUAUGGGUUGUAAACUGCUUUUAUACGGGAGCAAUAAGGGUUACGAGUAAUCCGAUGAGAGUACUGUAUGAAUAAGGAUCGGCUAACUCCGUGCCAGCAGCCGCGGUAAUACGGAGGAUCCGAGCGUUAUCCGGAAUUAUUGGGUUUAAAGGGUGCGUAGGCGGCCAUUUAAGUCAGCGGUGAAAUUUUGCAGCUUAACUGUAACAGUGCCGUUGAUACUGUUUGGCUAGGAUUUGGUUGUAGUGUGCGGAAUGUGUGGUGUAGCGGUGAAAUGCUUAGAUAUCACACAGAACACCGAUUGCGAAGGCAGCACACUAAGUCAUUAUUGACGCUGAGGCACGAAAGUGUGGGGAUCAAACAGGAUUAGAUACCCUGGUAGUCCACACUGUAAACGAUGAUAACUCGCUGUCGGCGAUACACAGUCGGUGGCCAAGCGAAAGCAUUAAGUUAUCCACCUGGGGAGUACGACCGCAGGUUGAAACUCAAAGGAAUUGACGG
rnacentral:rRNA from 1 species